rnacentral:rRNA from 1 species
UAAUAACAUUACAACUUUCAGCGGUGGAUGUCUAGGUUCCCACAACGAUGAAGAACGCAGCGAAAUGCGAUACGUAAUGCGAAUUGCAAGACCUCGUGAAUCAUUAAGAUUUUGAACGCACAUUGCGCUUUCGGGAUUUUCCCGGUAGCAUGCUUGUCUGAGUGUCUGUGGAUCCCACUCAGCGCUGGUAUUACAUAUAUCAGUUGCUGGUUGUUUUGGCUUUGACUGCGUUUCGCUGUCUCUGCUCAAGUUCUAC